rnacentral:rRNA from 1 species
GUAGGGAAUAUUGGGCAAUGGACGAGAGUCUGACCCAGCCAUGCCGCGUGCAGGAAGACGGCGUUCUGCGUUGUAAACUGCUUUUAUCUGGGAAGAAAAUGCCCCUGCGGGGGAAAUUGCCGGUACCAGAUGAAUAAGCACCGGCUAACUCCGUGCCAGCAGCCGCGGUAAUACGGAGGGUGCAAGCGUUGUCCGGAUUUAUUGGGUUUAAAGGGUGCGUAGGCGGCUAUUUAAGUCAGUGGUGAAAGACUCCGGCUCAACCGGAGCAGUGCCAUUGAUACUGGAUAGCUUGAGUAUUGGAGGGGUACAUGGAAUUGAUGGUGUAGCGGUGAAAUGCAUAGAUACCAUCAGGAACACCGAUAGCGAAGGCAUUGUACUGGCCAAUAACUGACGCUGAUGCACGAAAGCAUGGGUAGCGAACAGGAUUAGAAACCCUAGUAGUCC